rnacentral:rRNA from 1 species
AGUGAACGCUGGCGGUAGGCCUAACACAUGCAAGUCGAACGGCAGCACAGUAAGAGCUUGCUCUUACGGGUGGCGAGUGGCGGACGGGUGAGGAAUACAUCGGAAUCUACUUUUUCGUGGGGGAUAACGUAGGGAAACUUACGCUAAUACCGCAUACGACCUACGGGUGAAAGCAGGGGAUCUUCGGACCUUGCGCGAUUGAAUGAGCCGAUGUCGGAUUAGCUAGUUGGCGGGGUACAGGCCCACCAAGGCGACGAUCCGUAGCUGGUCUGAGAGGAUGAGCAGCCACACUGGAACUGAGACACGGUCCAGACUCCUACGGGAGGCAGCAGUGGGGAAUAUUGGACAAUGGGCGCAAGCCUGAUCCAGCCAUACCGCGUGGGUGAAGAAGGCCUUCGGGUUGUAAAGCCCUUUUGUUGGGAAAGAAAAGCAGCAGGUUAAUACCCCGCUGUUCUGACGGUACCCAAAGAAUAAGCACCGGCUAACUCGUG